rnacentral:piRNA from 1 species
CAGUGGAACUUAGAGACACCUCCCAGUGUU